CAGUCGCCGCGGUAAUACGGAGGGUGCAAGCGUUAUCCGGAUUUAUUGGGUUUAAAGGGUCCGUAGGCGGAUCUGUAAGUCAGUGGUGAAAUCUCACAGCUUAACUGUGAAACUGCCAUUGAUACUGCAGGUCUUGAGUAAAUUUGAAGUGGCUGGAAUAAGUAGUGUAGCGGUGAAAUGCAUAGAUAUUACUUAGAACACCAAUUGCGAAGGCAGGUCACUAAGAUUUAACUGACGCUGAUGGACGAAAGCGUGGGGAGCGAACAGGAUUAGAUACCCGCGUAGUCCCUGUCCUUAUACA
rnacentral:rRNA from 1 species